AUUGAACGCUGGCGGCAGGCUUAACACAUGCAAGUCGAGCGGAAACGAGAAUAGCUUGCUAUUCGGCGUCGAGCGGCGGACGGGUGAGUAAUGCCUGGGAAUAUGCCUUAGUGUGGGGGAUAACUAUUGGAAACGAUAGCUAAUACCGCAUAACGUCUUUGUUCAUUACGAGCGGGACCAAAGAGGGGGACCUUCGGGCCUCUCGCGCUAAGAUUAGCCCAGGUGGGAUUAGCUAGUUGGUGAGGUAAAGGCUCACCAAGGCAACGAUCCCUAGCUGGUCUGAGAGGAUGAUCAGCCACACUGGAACUGAGACACGGUCCAG
rnacentral:rRNA from 1 species